GGUCAGUAAAAUAGUUUCUAUACCUUAAGUUAAACACUCAUAAUCUUUACAGAGGAGAGUUAUCAAUACUUUAACAGAACCACUUGAUACUUGGCUAAUUCAACACUUAAAUGGACUUGAAAGGUCAUUCCAAGUGUUUGUGCAUGAGCACAACAGCAGCGAAAACACCUACAUUGAUUUGAUGACAUGCUAUCAGCCUUAACUAACCAUUCUUCAUUAAAGGGACACUAUAGUCACC